ACCUACGGGGGGCAGCAGCCGCGGUAAUACGUAGGGGGCAAGCGUUAUCCGGAUUUACUGGGUGUAAAGGGAGCGUCGGUGGCAUGGUAAGCCAGAAGUGAACACCCGGGGCUCAACCCCGCGGAUUGCUUUUGGAACUAUCAGGCUGGAGUGCUGGAGGGGUAAGCGGAAUUCCUAGUGUAGCGGUGAAAUGCGUAGAUAUUAGGAGGAACACCGGUGGCGAAGGCGGCUUACUGGACAGAAACUGACACUGAGGCUCGAAAGCGUGGGGAGCAA
rnacentral:rRNA from 1 species